AGCAAACCUCCAUGGCACAUGUAUACUUAUGUAACAAAUCUGCGUGUUAUGCACAUGUAUUCCAGAAUUAAAUUAAAAUUUAAAAAAAAAGUCAUAGAAGUUUGUUUGUUUACAUCUAUGCUUGCUUUCCCAUUGUGAUGGCAGAGUGUAAUAGUUGUAACUGCAUUGUCCUUAGGUCUAAAAUAUUGGCUGUUGGGCUGUUUACAGAAAAGUUUUCUGACCCCUGUCUUAAAAAAUUAGCCUUCCUGUACAUUCAUCUCUAUCAGUUUCUCUAGGACAAAUUCUAUCCAGAUGAUAACAUGUACAAAUAGCUGUUUUUCAGCACUCUGAGACUUAGUCAGUUUACCCCUACUACAGGUGAACUUCCUCCAUUGUAACUGAUUUUUUUUAAAGUAUAUGAUUUAGUUCAUAUUCUUGUGCUUGAGUCAUUUGGCUUUGUAGUCUGCCUAAUACUCUUGUAUCUGGGUCUUGCCUUUGCUUUGAUUUCUAUCUUCCUGCCUUAAUUCCUGUUACUGAACCUUAGCACGGUGACUAGAGCUCUACUAUCCAUUGGACAUCUUCCACUCUGCCUCUUGCUUACCCAGACUUUGAGUAUCACUACCCUAUAGCUGUUAUCCAUCCAUUAGUUGAAGCACAUGGCUGCCUACAGGCAUGCUUGCCUAGGUUACAAAGUACAGCUAUUAUUCACUUUGAAUGCUAUACGUUGGAUGAUGGAUUGUGUUCACAGCACCAUUGACUGAGUUGGUCCAAAUGUGUGUUUCUCAUCCAGGUGUAGAGUUUGUUUCAGAUCCCAGUCCUCCAAGUUUUCUUCAUCCUAUCCUAUAACAGCAUUCCAUUUUGUGAACAUACUAGAAUCCAUUUAUCUACUGCUUGCUUAUUAUGAAUGCUAUCAAGACACAUUUCAAGAGCUACUAGAACUCUCAUCAACUGUGGGAAGGCAAGUUGGUAUAAACACUGGAAAACAGUUUGGAAGUUUAUACAAAAAAUAACAUAUGUGUACUUUUCAGACAGUCUUUACACUAAUAAGUAUAUACCCAACAGAUAAACUGUAUAUUUCUACCCAAUUAGUAGAAGAAUGUUUACAACAGCAUCAUUUUUCUUUUUCAAUUUAGCCAUUCUACAGGGUAUGUAGUGUUAUAAAGUUCUGGUUUUACUUUUAAUUUCUCUUGAUGACUAAUGAAGCUCAGCACCCACUCCCAAUUUAAAUAUCAUUUCUGUAAGGUACUUAUUUGAGUUUUUUGCUCAUUUAAAAAAAGAUUUUCUCUUUUCCUAUUUAUUUGAUAAAAGCUCUUUAUAUAUUCUGGAUCUAAACCUUUUUUGAGGGGAAUAUGUUUUGUAAAUACCUUUUCCCACUUUGUGGGCUAUCUAUUCACUCUUCCUAUUGGCGUCUUCUGAUGAACAGAAGUUUAAGUCAUAAUAUAGUCCAAUUUAUCAAUUUUCUAUUUAUCAUUGGUAAUCUUAAUGUCUUGUUUGAAAAUAUGUGUCUACUCCAAAGUCAUAAAGGUGUCUUUAUAUACUUUCACGUAAAUUUUCUAUUUUUUAAAGAAAUUCUUUGAUAUUUCUAUUUUUAUGGAAAUUCUUUGAUAUUUAGGUCCUCUGUUUAUCUGGCCUUUUUAUGAUGUCAUGUAAGAGCAAAAAUUAAUCCCUAUGUUGGAUAUCAUAUUGACCCUGUGACUCAUUUACUGAAAAAUGAUACUUUCCACAGUGCUAUGUAGUUUCAACUUUAUCAUAUACUAGAUGAUCAAUACAGGUAUGCAUCUAUUUGUGGACCCUCUUAGAUUGUCCGUUGUUCUAUUUGUUUAUUCUUGUGUCAAUAUUAAACUUUAUUAAAUUUCAGUAAGAGGCCAUGACUUUUGUAGUAUAAAUUCUCCAGCUUUGUUCUUCCAGAUUGCCUUGGUUAUUCUUUGCCAUUUGCAUUUCUAUAUAAAUUUUAAAAUCAGCUCACUGGACACAAUAAAAAGCCUGUUGAGAUUUUGAUUGGAAUCUAUAGAUAAAUUUUUGGAGAACUGACAUUAUAACAAUAUGAAGUCCUCUUAUCCAUGACCUUGGAUUUAUUCAGGUUGUUAUCAGUUUUUCUUGGU
rnacentral:lncRNA from 1 species